UACAUAGGGGGCAAUCGUUGUUCGGAAUUACUGGGCGUAAAGGGCGCGUAGGCGGCCUUCUAAGUCAGACGUGAAAUCCCCGGGCUCAACCCGGGAACUGCGUCUGAUACUGGAGGGCUUGAAUCCGGGAGAGGGAUGUGGAAUUCCAGGUGUAGCGGUGAAAUGCGUAGAUAUCAGGAGGAACACCGGUGGCGAAGGCGGGUCUCUGGGCAACAACUGACGCUGAGGAGCGAAAGCGUGGGGAGCGAACAGG
rnacentral:rRNA from 1 species